UACGAAGGGGGCUAGCGUUGCUCGGAAUCACUGGGCGUAAAGGGUGCGUAGGCGGGGCUUUAAGUCAGGGGUGAAAUCCUGGAGCUCAACUCCAGAACUGCCUUUGAUACUGAGGAGCUUGAGUCCGGGAGAGGUGAGUGGAACUGCGAGUGUAGAGGUGAAAUUCGUAGAUAUUCGCAAGAACACCAGUGGCGAAGGCGGCUCACUGGCCCGGUACUGACGCUGAGGUGCGAAAGCGUGGGGAGCAAACAGG
rnacentral:rRNA from 1 species